rnacentral:rRNA from 1 species
GAAAAGCACUCUGAAGAGAGAGUCAAAAGACCGUGAAACCGCUCAGAGUAUAAGCCAAUGGAGCUUGGAAGGCUUCCGCAGUGUCGGCCAUCCAUGUGGUGUGUCGUGAGGCAUGUAGCGCGGUUCGUUGGGCGGAGCAUUGAGUUUGCCGACCAGCUUACGUGCGGGGAUUCGGUUUGGGGGUCUUAGGCUUCGGCCGAAGGGCUCCUGGCCGUUUCUUUUUGAAUGAACGUUCAGAGCUACUGUGUCCUAAUGCGGUUAUGCCCACCACGGCACGUUGUGAGGUCACCCACAGGCUCAAACUGCCGAUCGCGCAUCCAGGACGAUGGCAACGAUGCGUUGUUGAGCUCGAUCUUUGAGUGGAGCUGUCACGCGUGUCUAGUCCUGGGUCGGGCGGCGACCGAGAUAAACCUGGUAUGAUCCUCUUGCGACGAGCUGCUUUCUGGCCAGACCGACGUCCAGGCGCUUCCACUGUGCCGGAAGCGUCAAUCCCAGGCGGUUUGAACCCAGCUGCAUUCUGCAAGGUCUCUCAGCCGGGCGUUGGUCUGAGUGGUGUUAAGUCCAGCACCAUCGGUCACGUCUCGAAACACGGGCCAAGGAGUAUAGCAUGUGUGCAAGUCUAAGGGUCUCACAAAACCCGAAGGCGAAGUGAAAGCAAGACUGUGGCGGGGGAGCUACGGCGAACCCGCCGGCCUUGUGGCACACUCUGUGUGUUUGCUCGGCUUUUAGCAGAGCUGAUCCUGCUUCUCGGUUAAUUCUGGUGCAGGCGCAAGCUCCGGGCUCACGUACAACACUGGUCACCUCGUGUGGCUGUGUUGUGAGCACCGUGGAGCAUGCAUGCUAU